rnacentral:rRNA from 1 species
CCUACGGGUGGCUGCAGUGGGGAAUAUUGGACAAUGGGCGAAAGCCUGAUCCAGCCAUGCCGCGUGUGUGAAGAAGGCCUUCGGGUUGUAAAGCACUUUCAGUGGGGAAGAAAGCCUUGGGGCUAAUACCCUCGAGGAAGGACAUCACCCACAGAAGAAGCACCGGCUAACUCCGUGCCAGCAGCCGCGGUAAUACGGAGGGUGCGAGCGUUAAUCGGAAUUACUGGGCGUAAAGCGCGCGUAGGCGGUCUGAUAAGCCGGUUGUGAAAGCCCCGGGCUCAACCUGGGAACGGCAUCCGGAACUGUCAGGCUAGAGUGCAGGAGAGGAAGGUAGAAUUCCCGGUGUAGCAGUGAAAUGCGUAGAGAUCGGGAGGAAUACCAGUGGCGAAGGCGGCCUUCUGGACUGACAUUGACGCUGAGGUGCGAAAGCGUGGGUAGCAAACAGGAUUAGAUACCCCAGUAGUC